UACAGAGGUCUCAAGCGUUGUUCGGAAUCACUGGGCUUAAAGGGCGCGUAGGCGGGCCUCCAAGUCCGGGGUGAAAUCCUCCAGCCUAACUGGAGAAGAGCCUCGGAGACUGGGGGCCUCGAGGGAGGUAGGGGCGGUGCGGAACGUAUGGGUGGAGGCGGUGAAAUGCAUUGAUAUCCAUAGGAACUCCGGUGGCGAAGGCGGCACGCUGGACCUCUUCU
rnacentral:rRNA from 1 species